rnacentral:rRNA from 1 species
GAUGAACGCUGGCGGCGUGCCUAAUACAUGCAAGUCGAGCGAACGGACGAGAAGCUUGCUUCUCUGAUGUUAGCGGCGGACGGGUGAGUAACACGUGGAUAACCUACCUAUAAGACUGGGAUAACUUCGGGAAACCGGAGCUAAUACCGGAUGAUAUUUUGAACCGCAUGGUUCAAAAGUGAAAGACGGUCUUGCUGUCACUUAUAGAUGGAUCCGCGCUGCAUUAGCUAGUUGGUAAGGUAACGGCUUACCAAGGCAACGAUGCAUAGCCGACCUGAGAGGGGGAUCGCCAACACGGGAACGGAGACACGGUCCAGACUCCGAAGGGAGGAAGGAGUAGGGAAUCUUCCGCAAUGGGCGAAAGCCUGACGGAGAAACGCCGCGUGAGGGAUGAGGGUCUGCGGAGAGUAAAACUCUGUUAUGAGGGAAAAAAAAAUGGGUAAGUAACUUGGCACAUUGUGACGGUACCUAAUAAGAAAGCCAGGGCUAACUACGUG